UACGGAGGGUGCAAGCGUUAUCCGGAUUCACUGGGUUUAAAGGGUGCGUAGGUGGGUCUGUAAGUCAGUGGUGAAAUCUUCAAGCUUAACUUGGAAACUGCCAUUGAUACUAUAGGUCUUGAAUUAUCUGGAGGUGAGCGGAAUAUGUCAUGUAGCGGUGAAAUGCUUAGAUAUGACAUAGAACACCAAUUGCGAAGGCAGCUCACUACGGAUGUAUUGACACUGAGGCACGAAAGCGUGGGGAUCAAACAGG
rnacentral:rRNA from 1 species